rnacentral:rRNA from 1 species
UACGUAGGAGGCAAGCGUUGUCCGGAGUUACUGGGCGUAAAGCGCACGCAGGCGGUCGCAUCAGUCUGGGGGGACAGUUCCCGGCCUAACCGGGAAAGUGCUCUGGAAACUGUGCGACUUGAGGGCUUCAGAGGGAUGUGGAAUUCCAGGUGGAGUGGUGAAAUGCGUAGAGAUCUGGAAGAACACCAAAGGCGAAGGCAGCAUCCUGGGAAGUUCCUGACGCUCGGGUGCGAAAGCCAGGGGAGCGAACGGG